rnacentral:rRNA from 1 species
AUUGAACGCUGGCGGCGUGCUUAACACAUGCAAGUCGUGCGGUAACAGGCGUAGCAAUACGUGCUGACGAGCGGCGAACGGGUGCGUAAUACAUCGGGAAUCUGCCCUUUUAGUGGGGAAUAACCCGGCGAAAGCCGGGCUAAUGCCGCAUAAGAUCUUCGGAUGAAAGCGGGGAUCGUAAGACCUCGCGCUGAUAGAUGAGCCCAUGCCGGAUUAGCUAGGNGGUGAGGUAACGGCUCACCAAGGCGACGAUCCGUAGCUGGUCUGGAGAGGACGGCCAGCCACACUGGGACUGAGACACGGCCCAGACUCCUACGGGAGGCAG